GGGCCACUAGCUCAAUGGAAGAGCAAGCGACUCUUAAUCGCUAGGUUCCCGGUUCGAGUCCGGGGUGGCCCACCA
rnacentral:tRNA from 1 species